AGUGAACGCUGGCGGUAGGCCUAACACAUGCAAGUCGAACGGCAGCACAGUAAGAGCUUGCUCUUACGGGUGGCGAGUGGCGGACGGGUGAGGAAUAAAUCGGAAUCUACUUUUUCGUGGGGGAUAACGAAGGGAAACUUAUGCUAAUACCGCAUACGACCUACGGGUGAAGGCAGUGGAUCUUCGGACCUUGCGCGUUUGAAUGAGCCGAUGUCGGAUUAGCUAGUUGGCGGGGUAAAGGCCCACCAAGGCGACGAUCCGUAGCUGGUCUGAGAGGAUGACCAGCCACACUGGGACUGAGACACGGUCCAGACUCCUACGGGAGGCAGCAGUGGGGAAUAUUGGACAAUGGGCGCAAGCCUGAUCCAGCCAUACCGCGUGUGUGAAGAAGGCCUUCGGGUUGUAAAGCACUUUUGUUGGGAAAGAAAAGCAGCAGGUUAAUACCCCGCUGUUCUGACGGUACCCAAAGAAUAAGCACCGGCUAACUUCGUG
rnacentral:rRNA from 1 species